GAUGAAGAACGUAGCGAAAUGCGAUACGUAAUGUGAAUUGCAGAAUUCAGUGAAUCAUCGAGUCUUUGAACGCACAUUGCGCCCCCUGGUAUUCCGGGGGGCAUGCCUGUCCGAGCGUCAUUGCUGCCCUCAAGCACGGCUUGUGUGUUGGGCCUCCGCCCCCCGGCUCCCGGGGGGCGGGCCCGAAAGGCAGCGGCGGCACCGCGUCCGGUCCUCGAGCGUAUGGGGCUUCGUCACCCGCUCCGUAGGCCCGGCCGGCGCCCGCCGGCGACCCCCCUCAAUCUUUCCUGGUUGACCUCGGAUCAGGUAGGGAUACCCGCUGAACUUAAGCAUAUCAAUAAGCGGAGGA
rnacentral:misc_RNA from 1 species